AUCAGUGUUUGUUAGCAGAGGGCAGCUGGUGGUGCCACCAUCAUUUUGUUUUUCGCCUCGUUAAUCUGCAAUCCGAGGUUCUGUUAGAGCCUCAAACCAAUGAUGUCUAUGUCUUCAGCGUGUAUGUCAGGAUCUGGAUUUACUUAUAGAAGAUGGUCCCCGAAGGUUCCACCUCCGAGUCGCGGAUGGCUCUCUCUAGCGCCAGGUUGAAAAGGAGACAGGCAAGCCCAUCUCCCUGGCGCAAGCCCUUGGUGGUAGCAAAGGGCCCUGAGAGUUUUCCAUCCACCUUCACCUGGCAUAUGAUGUUGGCCAUUGUCAUUCUUACAAGCCUGGUAAGCUUGACCGGGAGGAUUCCAAAAGAGCUCAUAACUUCGUAUGGUGCCACCCUGGGGCUAUGCUGUCAUAUGCGGUUUUAACAUCAAUGAAGAGAUGGUAGGAGUAGAGCUGCUCCAAGGCUUGCCACAUCGUGAAGUCAGUGAUUGAUUUUCCGUUUCGGAAUCCUCCUCUGACAGUUUCCGAUCGAUCUUGUAAGAGCAGGGAGAAACGCGUGCGAUGCUAAUAAUAUGAAUCCCGAACAAAAACUAUAAAAUGCGAUGAUCGUACAGUGAAGAGAAGGGUGAUGAAAAUGGUGCGUAUAUGUGAAGUUUCCAAGAAGCAGCUUCUCAUCAAACUCGUGCGAGAAACCACAAACGAUUGGGAAUUAGCACACACACACACACACUGUGACGCGACUCGUAGUAAUCAAGCGGGGACAGCCGGACCAAGGCGUGAUAAGCAUCGCGAGAGGAUGCUACCGUUUCGUUUUCCCACGUUUCGGUGGCAAAUCUUCCUCAUCGUCAUCUAGAAGUGAGAAAAGGGAAGAUUAUUAUGUGAUGCUGCUUGACACUGUGCGUGCGUGUGCGUGUGAGUUUACUGAGUGUAUAAUACAGGAAUACUAGGGAGAAAGCACACAAGUUUGAAAGCUGACCGAUCAGUUAGUGGUAGAGAAGGUAAAAUGGUUUCUAGUUUCGUAUGAACACUGCAGAGCAAAACCGGUGCAUUUUCAGUAAAAUUUUACUGAAGAAAAGAAAAAUAUAUUUUUGUUUUAA